UCUCUUUUGGGGCAAAUAUUUGUUCAGCUGAUUACAGGAGGGACAGGAUUCCAUCGCUUCAGACACACCCUCUGAAGCAUCUCCAAGUAGAUGUGCGCCCUUUCCCUCCAUCGCCUACUGACUGUCUUUAGUUGACUGAGUGGUCCUAAUAACAGGUAGGGUCUUGCCAGCUACAAACAGUAGGUGAUUGACGAGGUACCUGCUGGGCCAGCCACCCUCUUGUCUGCAGACCUAAGAAUUGCCAGCUGCCCCAUACUAUAAGUCUUCUUAUAGUAUCACCUGGAAAAAUGCUAAACUGACCUAAGGCAGCAGCUUGGGGGACAGAUUCAUUAGAUCUUCACUGACUAAAAUCCCACUUUCCAGUGUCUCUUCACUCAAGAAUCUCCAGCCUGUUGGGCAACAUACCUGGUAACUUGCCACUUCUGUGUGGUAAACAGAGAGGGAAUGUGUGCAGAAGAGCCGGUUAGGGCAGGACCAUUUCUGGAUAUGCAUUCUUUCCGGGACCAGCGGGCAAGAAACAUUCCCCUCCGUGUUAUUUGAGCCUUGGUGGAAGAUACCUACCCAUGUCCUUUUAGGUACAGUCUCCUGAGCUGUACAGAUGCUGCUGCAGUGGCAUCCCCUAACGUCCCUGGAGGCUGCAGCUAUGAGUUCAGAUAGUCACUUAGGGUAUGCUCCAAAUUAGCAUCCUUUAGGAAAGGGGACAGAACUUUGCCUUUCUUGUACCUGAGUACCUCAGGUGUUUUAUCCUUUACUUAAUGGGGCAAAUUUACUGAACAGCUACUAUAAGGCAAGCAGAGUGCUAGGUGCUAGCUUAAGCUAGACAUUAUCUCUCUAUCAUGGAAAUAUGUGGCCAUUCACAUGUUCCAUACAGUAACUUUCCAAGGUACGUGAAUUUAUUCCCAGUUUGUACACAAAGCUCCCAGUGGCUAAAUAACCGAGCUUAAAUGUUUCUCAGCCAACUUAGUGUCCUAAAUUGAUAUUGGCCUAAUUUUAGAGUCCAGACUCUUUCCAUCCAUGCCUUAAUCAGGAAGUAAUAAUCCAGACAGAGUAGCAUAGAAACUCAUGGCUACUGUUGGGCUGAGAACAGCAUGCCUAUAGAAAGUACUCAUUCCAUGUUGCAAUCGUAGCAGUGUUCUGGUAUCUGAGAACAGUGCCUUUAUCAUCAGUAGCAGGUUCCCAAAUGUGUGGAAACCUCCGAUUGGGGUACUAAGAAAACUCAGGCAUAGCAAGUGUUGCGUGGCAUCAGGAGUUUGCCCAGUCAUGAUGGCUUCUUGUUAGUGUUUUCCCUGUUAAAAUCUCAGUCUUGUCAAUCAUUGAGAGUGGCAUGUGUGCAAGGAGACAGAUGGCCUGCCCCAGAAUCUCUGUUAAUUGUAGGGUGAUGCUGUAAGGAUUGGAACUCCAGCCUCUGGCCAUACUACUGCCCGCCUGCCUGAGUCACCUGGAAAAAUGUUGUACCUGUUUGUGUCUCUUGUCUUUUGUCUCUCCUACCUGUAAAAUCUAAUAAUGAUACCCAACUGCCAGAAUAAAAGCCCUUCGCUGACCUUAAUUGUAGGGUGGAUGCCCAUCUUCUCCAAAAUGAGCUUCCUCUCUCUAAGGCUCUGAACUUUACCCCCUGGAGUUACUACUUAAGAAACUAAGCCUGUUCACUGAGACCUAGCCCCCAUUAGAUGAAACCCUUUUGGGUUUUUUUGUUUUUUUGUUUUUUUUUUUUUACUUUGAAUGUGGGUGAGACUCCAAGUGGGCCAGUCACUUUGGUAUUACCAGCCCUGGAGAUACCCUUUGCCCAGUGGAAACACCAUUGUUAGGAGCAGAGAACGAGUGAUACUGGGGAGAGCACCUAGCUUGGCCUUCCCCAAGCUGCAGCUCUACUCUUACCUGUUGUGGCUUCUUCAGUGCAACAGAGAGAUGGACAUGUGCUUAGUUGAAGCACCUCAGCUCCAUUUGCAAAUUCGGCAGUUCUGUGGUUUUCUUGGGGAAGCCCCAUCAGAAACCCCAACACAGAAAUUCUUAGUAAUCUCAUUCAGGUCUCCAAAUGAAGUAAAGUGUCUCAGGGGCUCCCCCUUGGAACACCUACUUCUUUUCAGUGUCUUUUUUUAGGUGGCUCUUAAAACUCCUUUGCCAUCAUAGGGUUUUCCAGACUCCUGAAGCAGCAUCCCCAGCAACCACAUGGAACUCUUCAUCUUCUGCUUAAAAAUUACCUAGGUAAUUUUUAGGGGGCCCCAGUGGAACCUGGAGAGUUUCUUGACUUUGUGUGGGCAACCACCAAUUUUGUUUGGGCUGUGUGAAGCUGAACCCCUCUCCCAGCAGACUCCUGUCCUAAGGCCAGUGGUCUUGGGCAUCCUUCUCUCAUGCCUCGCCUCCUGGUUUUUCCCCAGCCUCCCACCACAGGACUUGCUUUUUGCAAUUGCUGCCUUGUCUGGGUUAGUGUGCUUUGCUUUAAAGGUAGUCCCCAGUGAGCUGCCUUCCAACAGAAACAGCCUCAACAACCUAAGCCUAUCAGGAUUUCUGCCCCCAUCCCUGCCCUCCAACCAGAGUCUGCAGGAUCUUCCCUUGAAGGAUUCACUCCGAAUCCUGUUGUCCCUGCAGCUCAGUCUGUCUUCCCCACCCCCACUGGGCAUCUAGUGAUAAAAAGAGUCCCACGGGAUCUUUGUUUCACCUAGUGAGACAAAUUGCCACCAGCUUGAUACUCACCUUUUUUUACAUAUGAUCCCUCGCACUUUGUAUAAAGAAAGAAGCUGUUAGUGUCAAGUUGGUGCCCAGAGGCAUUUCCAAGGCUGUACUCUGUCAGGAGUUGAGGCAGAGUCCACAUCUUGCUCACUGGUUAUCUUAGCCCAGUGCACAGGUCUUGGGCGUAGUAGUCACUGAUGAAAAGAUACUAAGUUUCUGAAGGAAGGACCUUAUCAAACAAGAAUAAUAAUGGUGGGCGCCUCCUUUGACCCAGUUAUUGAGCCUCUACUCUGCUAGGCUCAAUACUACACAAACAACAAAUACUAAUACUAAACAAAACUAAGUUUUUGCCUCAUGUAGCUCAUUCUGAUAGAAAGAAAAAAAAUACAUAAUAGAGGCUGAGGCUCAGUCUGUAAAAUGCUUGCUGUGCUAGCAUAAGAAUCUGAGUUUGGGCAAGCCCAUGGUUUUAAUCCCAACACUUGAGAAGUAGAGGCAGGCUGGUCUACAGAGUGAGCUCUAGGAAAGCCAAGACUACACAGAAAAACCGUCUCAACCCUCUAAUCCCCCCAACCCCCACUUCCAAAAAAAAAAAAAAGAGAACCUGAGUUUGAUCACUAGAAUUCAGAAUCUGUGUUUAAAAAAAAAAAUGCCAGACACAGUGAUGUACACUUACAAUCCCAAAGCUGGAAGGCAGAGACUAGGGCUUUCUGGGGCUUGCUGGCCAGCCACUCUAGACUAAUGUGUGAGUUCUAGGCCAGUGAAGUAGAUAGCUUCUGAAGAGCAAUACCUAGGAUUGACCUCCAGCCUCAGUGUGCAUAUGCAUAGAAAUGCAAGCUAAGCCGAGUGUGCAUGCAUGCACGCGUGUGCACACACACACACUCACACUCUGUGUAUACACAGCAGUCCAUUGAUGAUACAGCCUGGGAGCUAGAGAGAUGGCUUAAUGUUUAAGAGCUCUUGCUACUCUUCUAGAGGACCCAAGUUUGUGUGUCCCCCCCUUCUCUGUGUGUGUGGGGGGAGAGGGAGCUUUCAGCUGAUACUAUGAACUCUGAAGGAAAUAAGGGGGGAAAAGCAGAUUGGUUUAUAGAUAAUGCCUAGCACAGCAGGGUAGGACAGCACUUUAAUAAUGGUGAUCAAAGGACCUGGCAGGAUAAUUCAGCUUAUAAAGGUAUAAGCUAUCAAGCCUGAUAUCUUGAGUUACAUCCCUGGUUUCCACUUGGUGGAAGGGAAGAACUAAUUGCGAGUUGUCUUCUGACCUCCAUAUGUGCCCAUGGCAUGGCCAUACUCAGUGAGUAGAUAGAUGGGUGGAUGGAUGGAUGAAAUUUAAGGAGUGAUCAAAAAAGUGAACAACCAAGAUACAGGGAAAUGUAAAAUAGCUCACCUGUCACCUGUUGGGUGGCUAGAAUAUGAAUUAACUUGACAUAAGACAAAUUAACAAAAACCCCAAACAUUUUGAUAAGUCAUUUGUGCACAAGAGCCAAACUCAAAGAAUGGCUAAAUUCAUGAUUGAGGCUCUGUAGCAUCCUGAACUACAUAAAGAAGUAGGAGGCUGAGUGUAUGGCACAUGCCUCUAACCCAGCAGACAGGCAGACCUUGGAGUGAGAGGCCAGUUCUCACCAGGUCUUCAUGGUGAGACCCUGUCUCAAAACAAGAAAUAAGUAAAUAAAUAGAUGGAAGGAAGGAAUAGGGUUUUGGAAUUCAUACAGUGACUUCAAGUUACAGGAAGCUUAGCUACAAAUUAUAGUGGGUAAAUAUUGUAAAGUGUCUCAGGUAAUAAAAGUUGUAGAGCAACCAGACACAACUGACAGAAAUAAAUACUUUUGUGACAGAUGUUUCUUUUAUGAAAACAGCUUUUCUCAGAUCAGCUAAGGCUGCACAGGGAAUGCCUAUCUUGAAAAACCAAAAACC
rnacentral:lncRNA from 1 species